rnacentral:rRNA from 1 species
AUUGAACGCUGGCGGCAGGCCUAACACAUGCAAGUCGAACGAGUGGCGGAAGGGUGAGUAAUGUCUGAAAAACUGCCUGAUGGAGGGGGAUAACUACUGGAAACGGUAGCUAAUACCGCAUACCAUCGGAUGUGCCCAGAUGGGCUUAGCUAGUAGGUGGGGAAACGGCUCACCUAGGCGACGUUCCCUAGCUGGUCUGAGAGGAUGACCGGCCACACUGGAACUGAGAAACGGUCCAGACUCCUACGGGAGGCAGCAGUGGGGAAUAUUGCACAAUGGGCGCAAGCCUGAUGCAGCCAGGCCGCGUGUAUGAAGAAGGUCUUCGGGUUGUAAAGCACUUUCAGCGGGGAGGCGUUACCCGCAGAAGAAGCACCGGCUAACUCCGUGCCAGCAGCCGCGGUAAUAC